ensembl:lncRNA
GCCCGACCGGGAGGGAGUGAGGGAGGGACAGACCUAGCGCGGCGCGGCGCGGCGCAGGGGCUGGGCUCAGGCUAGGAGAGGCUCCGGCGCCGGCUAGGGCUCUGGCACCAGUCUCCCCCCGCUUGCUCCUAGCUUCUCCCCACGUGUACGGCUCCGCAAGGGCAGCCGCGCCCUCCGGAGCGCAGCGUGGGCGCCUCGCCUGCGGGGCCCCGGAACGUUGAGAGUUGCUAGGACAGAGAAAGGCACCCACAGCUGCCGACUCCGGCUCCCGGGCUACUCCUAUUACACAAGCCUGAGUUACUGAGGCACACAAACACGCGCGCGCAUACACAAAUGCACUCAAACGCAACAUGCUUUGCAUUGACCACAGCAUACACAAUACUGAUAGUCGGAAUUAUCGAAGAAACACAUGCAUGACCAAAAGACCCAAUGUCAUUUAAAUACAUUCAUGGAUCUCAGAAUAGACAAGAGACAGUUUUCAGAUACAGUUGUAUAAACACUUGCACGGCCCCCAGAAUAUACAACAAAGUUGUUUAAACAAAGACCCAAAGUUGUUUAAAUACAGAAUGUUUCCCUCCAGAAUAUACAAGAAAAUAUAUUAAAAAAAACCAUAAAUCCAUUAACGGACCCCGCAUACCAACACGGAGACACGAAAAAUGGCUCCAUAAUAUUAUGGAUAUAAUGAAUAAUAUAAUCUAUAAUAUAAUGAAUAAACAUAUACAUACAGAUCACAGUUUAUGUACCACACAGACACACUGGACAUUUUAAGUAUACUCUUUACUAGAUGUUUUUUACAAACCCCAAACUCAAACACGUGCCCACAAUUAUAUCAAAACACAACGGUACACUCUGACAUCCCCUGCAUACAGGCAAUUAUUUACACUCUGCAUAUACCCUCCUGCUUAGGGUAGGAGGAGAGACUAAUUCUGAUUUUUCUCAAAGCAAGGAGAUGUAGAGUUAGUGGGUACUGUCUGUGGCCUUGAGUCCGGACAGAUUCGGGGUCAGGAAAAACAUCCCCAGAUCGAGGAAGGUGUUUAGGGUCUCGCCCACCAGUCAUCUUUAUCCCUGGCAUCUCUACCUAGUCCCCUUGGUCCCCAUUGGCAAAGGCCUGGGCCUGAAAGCUUGGGUGGGGUAUGUGGAGGGGGUGGAGGGAGAGGUGGCGAGGCAGGGGAUAUCUAGUCCAAGAAUCAUUCUCGUUAUCUGCUUGGCCCCGUGCUCUUUCUUCACCUGGGAUUUAUCGGGCCAGAAAAUCAGGGGAGACUUUGUAAAGCAAACAGUGAAACGCCCCUGCCCCAGAGUCAGAGGUGACCGGUUCUCGGGAAUCCGGCUUUACUCCAGAUCCAGCCUUCUGACUGAAGAAAACAUACCAAAUUCCUGGACCAAGAGAAAGGACCUUAAACACUGAGCUUUUGACCGAUUCCUGUGAACCAACCCCUCCGUCAGCAGCAUCAAUCUCACACCCCACUCCUAUGACCUGUCCCUAAUCUUGAGUGUGUUGUAUCCAGACCUCAUUUGUCCAUUACAUUUGGAUAUGUUUAACCCUAGGAUGCAUGGGAAAAGAGAAAGAUGUAACUACAAGGUCCUUCUCUCUUAUUUCAGUCUUAGCCUUGUCCUUAAGGAGUUGGGGAGGGGUAAGAUCAGAUGAGUUGGGAAAAAUUAUCUGUGUCUUAUCAGAAGAUGCUCCAAAAGAAAAGGUUUGAAAGAAAGCUGAGAGACAUUUUUUUA